GAUGAACGCUAGCUACAGGCUUAACACAUGCAAGUCGAGGGGUAACGAGAGGGAAGCUUGCUUUCCUUGUCGACGACCGGCGCACGGGUGAGUAACGCGUAUCCAACCUGCCCCCAACUAGGGAAUAACCUUGCGAAAGUAAGACUAAUACCCUAUAAUUUCCUCAGAUGUCAUCUGACGAGGAAUAAAGAUUUAUCGGUUGUGGAUGGGGAUGCGUCUGAGUAGCUUGGUGGCGGGGUAACGGCCCACCAAGGCAACGAUCAGUAGGGGUUCUGAGAGGAAGGUCCCCCACAUUGGAACUGAGACACGGUCCAAACUCCUACGGGAGGCAGCAGUGAGGAAUAUUGGUCAAUGGGCGGAAGCCUGAACCAGCCAAGUAGCGUGCAGGAUGACGGCCCUAUGGGUUGUAAACUGCUUUUAUACAGGAAUAAAGUUAGCCACGUGUGGUUAUUUGUAGGUACUGUAUGAAUAAGGACCGGCUAAUUCCGUGCCAGCCGCCGCGGUAA
rnacentral:rRNA from 1 species